UUUAUAUCUGUGUAUAAAUUUGUAUUUUAAAUUCAUUUAAGGCUGUGGGCAUAGCUAGCUGAGCUGACAGUUAUUGCCCAAUACUAAUUGCUCUUGACAAGGUGGUAGUGAAAUUGUUCUUGAAUCCCUGUAGCCCAUUUAGUGUAGGGAUAUCCACAACACAGGAAAAGAAUUCCAGGAUUUUGAUCCAGUGACAACAAAGGAAUGACCAUAUAUUUUCAAGUCCGGCUGGAUCUGGUUAGGCCUUUGGAAUGAUCUUUUCUGCACGAGUACCCAAAAUGCUUUGAUAUCACACACUAUACAGCGAGAUAGAUUUUGGAGUUGCACAAGAAUACAACCAACAUGUUAAAGAAAAACUGACUAAUUUCCAGACUUUCUUGGUGAUGUGAUAGGAGGGAUUCAACAAAGGAGUUCUGUACAGCCUGAGAAGGAGUUUCUGAAUGUGAGUUUCUGCAAGACCUGCUGAGUUUCUCCAAUACUGAAAUAACAACAUAGAGAAGCUGGUAUCCUGUCAGCAAGUUACCCUUACUUUUCACAAGUAAAUAAACUGGCUGUGGACAGCCAGCUCAAAUUCAGUUUCCUGAACUGAGGAGAUUUUAAAUCCCUUGGUUUAUUUUUUCCCCCGGUUAUAUGUAUAUUUUUAUUUAAAGUCCACAUGAAGUCACAGCACCUGAUAACAUUCACCACUGUACAUCAAAACUCAGCAGAGAAAUAGAGAUGUUAACAUAGAACACUCCAAAUCUCAUUAUAAAUAAAAACAUAAAACAUUUUGUCGAAACAUAGAUAAAUUUUUCCCCUUAGAAAAAGUACUGCAAAAAUCUAAAUACAUUGCAUAAAAAGAAAAGCAAAACUUACCGUCUCCUAGAUGUAAAAGGUUGAACAACAAGUCAAAUUCCACACAAAAAUAAUAGCACACAGCAACAGACACUGUUCAAAGCACAUCACAGAAAAGUAAGAUGUGAUAUAAAACAUUUCAUAGGAACACAUCUCAUUUUAGACAGUAAUACAAAACAGUAAAAACAGACAACCUUCAAUGCUAUCGGUCAGCCUACACAUGGACCAGCUGGCAGUCAUCCUACACAACACCCACACAGGCCCAGUCCACCUACAAAGGCAUAAUGUACAUACAAAAAACAUGACAAAGGCACAUUCCAUUCAUGGAGGCCUGGCCACACACAAAGGCACA